UUUCUCUCUCUAUACCAAUUUACCUCUGUAAGCUAUAAUUCUCCCAAGAUCAAUUGCUUAUAUCCCUUACCCCCACUUUUCAUUCUGAAAUCAUAUACAUUUUUCUCGUUCACCCCGUUUUCAUCCCAUAUUUUUCCAAUUUUGUCCCACAUUUCAAAAUUUUCAAAACUUAAAAUUUCCCAGGAUCAUUCUUUCAUAUAUUAUUCUCCCACCUUUAUAUAAUCCCUUCGUGCACAUUGUUCAUUUUAAUCGCGAUGCAAAGACGUCGACUCCGGCAACGACGACGAUCUCCCCUCAAAUGGUGCGUGUACUCAAGGGCUUAGGCGAGAGCCAUUCAAGAGCUAUGGCAGUGGUGGUCGCGGUUGUUGCGCGUGGUGGUGGAUACGGAGGAGGAGGAGGAGGCAGUGGCGAUGGUGCUUGCUGCAGCUGCGGUGGGAUAGGUCACAUGGCCACAGAUUACAACCACGGAAGAGGCGGAUGCGGUGGUAGAUACGACGGCGGAGGCAAUGGUGGAAGCUGCAACAACUGUGGGUAUUCUGGGCUUUUGCAAGGGACUGCCCAACAAGCUCUCGCUGAAAAAUAAGUUACUGCGGAAUCUUUUCAGCCAUCACUAUUCUUCUCGAGAUUAUGGAGAGAUUUGAACUAUGGAUGUAGCUGAGUUUGAAGGAAAACUAUUUGCAGCAAGUGAUGCUAAGGAGUGAAAUUCAAAUUCCAUAUCGACUGUUCUCUUAUAUGGUACAAAUGGGGAUGGAUUUGCAAUUAGCAAAGCAGCAGGUAAAAUUGAAGGCAUUCAUGAUAAGUCGCUAAAUGAAGCCGAGGUGGCAGCAGCUACUGAAGAGAAAGGAACUUGUGCUUUUAAAAUUAAUCCUUUUCAGGUAACUUAGUUGUGAGCUUUUCAAAGAUAUUGUUUUGUUCUUUUACUGUUAUGCCAAUUCCUUUUUUUUUAGUUUUCCAUCAUUAUUAUUAUGAUGAUGAUAUUAAUCUAAUUUGUGUUGCACAAUUAUUGUUGAAUACUGAGAAAAGUGUUUGUGAUACACAUAUAGUAAAUAUUUGCUAAAUUCUUGGUUUUGGUUUUUCUUUUCCUCCUUUCAGGAAGCUAUUGCAGAAUCUAAGCCAUCACGAUUAUUUUUUCGUUUUGCUAUUUUCAGCUUUUUCUUCUUAUUAUUUUUUGAUUCAGAUUUUCUUCUUAUAAGUUUUUUAUUCAUUGACUAAAACAGUUGAGAUUGGUUAGCACCCGAGUUUACAAAGACAUUUGAACUGUGGAUGUAGAUAGAUCAGUUUGAGGAAGAACUGUUUGCAGCAGCCAGCAAGUGAUGCUAAGGUUCAAGCUAUGGUCAAGAAGCUUUGCUUUCAGUUAGCAAGAAGAGACCACCAGUUUCUUCCUUCAAAUUGCUAAAGAGCAAUGGAACCUCCAACUUUGCUUCUACAUCACAAAUCAACAACAGCUUCUGUUUCUUCAAAGUGAGAUAACAGUAACAUUGUUGCUACCCCAACUAGCAGCAACAACAAGCAUGCUUAAUUACUAAAAGUGAAAUCAAAUUAUAAUCUAUAUAAUCCUUCUCUAUGUAACUUGCAGAAUUAUGAUCUUUUUCAUAUUUUCUCUAAUCUUACUCCAAUAUUUAACCAUUGUGUAUCUUUUUAGCUAUAGUAUUAUUUUACUCACGGCUCUCAGUUGUUCAUCAUUUGUCACUAACAAGGUCUAAUUUCCCUAAUUAAUUACCAUAUAGAGGAUUCGCGAAUUUGUCUGACCAGA